rnacentral:rRNA from 1 species
CAGGACGAACGCUGGCGGCGUGCUUAACACAUGCAAGUCGAACGGGGAUCAUUUCGGAAGUCCUUCGGGAUGGAAGGGAUGAUUCGAGUGGCGGACGGGUGAGUAACGCGUGAACAAUCUGUCCCAGACAGGGGGAUAACACUUGGAAACAGGUGCUAAUACCGCAUAAGACCACGGCAUCACAUGGUGCAGGGGUAAAAGGAGCGAUCCGGUUUGGGGUGAGUUCGCGUCCGAUUAGCCAGUUGGCGGGUAACGGCCCACCAAAGCGACGAUCGGUAGCCGAUCUGAGAGGAUGACCGGCCACAUUGGAACUGAGAGACGGUCCAAACUCCUACGGGAGGCAGCAGUGGGGAAUAUUGGGCAAUGGGCCGAAAGCCUGACCCAGCAACGCCGCGUGAGUGAAGAAGGCCUUCGGGUUGUAAAGCUCUGUUAUAGGGGACGAAGGAAGUGACGGUACCCUAUAAGGAAGCCCCGGCUAACUACGUGCCAGCCGCCGC